CAUUUUUUGUAAAGCUGAAUAAAAUGAGUGAGAACU
rnacentral:snoRNA from 1 species